rnacentral:piRNA from 1 species
UCAGCCUCUUCUUAGGUGUUAGAAAUGGCCAC